UGGGGUAUAUUGGACAAUGGGCGAAAGCCUGAUCCAGCCAUGCCGCGUGUGUGAAGAAUGUCUUCGGAUUGUAAAGCACUUUAAGUUGGGAGGAAGGGCAGUAAGCGAAUACCUUGCUGUUUUGACGUUACCGACAGAAUAAGCACCGGCUAACUCUGUGCCAGCAGCCGCGGUAAUACAGAGGGUGCAAGCGUUAAUCGGAAUUACUGGGCGUAACGCGCGCGUAGGUGGUUCGUUAAGUUGAAUGUGAAAGCCCCGGGCUCAACCUGGGAACUGCAUCCGAAACUGGCGAGCUGGAGUAGGGCAGAGGGUGGUGGAAUUUCCUGUGUAGCGGUGAAAUGCGAAGAUAUAGGAAGGGAAACCAGUGGCGAAGGCGACCACCUGGGCUCAUACUGACACUGAGGUGCGAAAGCGUGGGGAGCAAACAGG
rnacentral:rRNA from 1 species